CGUUGUUCGGAGUUACUGGGCGUAAAGGGUGUGUAGGCGGCUUUCUAAGUUUGGUGUGAAAUCUCCCGGCUCAACCGGGAGGGUGCGCCGAAAACUGGGUGACUAGAGUGCGGGAUGGGAGAGUAGAAUUCCUGGUGUAGCGGUGAAAUGCGUAGAUAUCAGGAGGAAUACCGGUGGUGCAGACGGCUCUCUGGACCGCAACUGACGCUGAAACACGAGAGCGUGGGUAGCAAACAGG
rnacentral:rRNA from 1 species